rnacentral:rRNA from 1 species
UACGAAGGGGGACUAGCGUUGUUCGGAAUUACUGGGCGUAAAGGGUGCGUAGGCGGGUCUUUUAAGUCAGGGGUGAAAUCCUGGAGCUCAACUCCAGAACUGCCUUUGAUACUGAAGAUCUUGAGUUCGGGAGAGGUGAGUGGAACUGCGAGUGUAGAGGUGAAAUUCGUAGAUAUUCGCAAGAACACCAGUGGCGAAGGCGGCUCACUGGCCCGAUACUGACGCUGAGGCACGAAAGCGUGGGGAGCAACAGG